rnacentral:rRNA from 1 species
GACGAACGCUGGCGGCGUGCUUAACACAUGCAAGUCGAACGCUGAAGCCUAGCUUGCUGGGUGGAUGAGUGGCGAACGGGUGAGUAACACGUGAGUAACCUGCCCUCUUCUUUGGGAUAACGCCCGGAAACGGGUGCUAAUACUGGAUAUUCACUGAUCUUCGCAUGGGGGUUGGUGGAAAGGUUUUUUCUGGUGGGGGAUGGGCUCGCGGCCUAUCAGCUUGUUGGUGGGGUGAUGGCCUACCAAGGCUUUGACGGGUAGCCGGCCUGAGAGGGUGACCGGUCACAUUGGGACUGAGAUACGGCCCAGACUCCUACGGGAGGCAGCAGUGGGGAAUAUUGCACAAUGGGCGAAAGCCUGAUGCAGCGACGCCGCGUGAGGGAUGGAGGCCUUCGGGUUGUAAACCUCUUUCGCUCAUGGUCAAGCCGCAACUUAGGGUUGUGGUGAGGGUAGUGGGUAAAGAAGCGCCGGCUAACUACGUGCCAGCAGCCGCGGUAAUACGUAGGGCGCGAGCGUUGUCCGGAAUUAUUGGGCGCAAAGGGCUUGUAGGCGGUUGGUCGCGUCUGCCGUGAAAUCCUCUGGCUUAACUGGGGGCGUGCGGUGGGUACGGGCUGACUUGAGUGCGGUAGGGGAGACUGGAACUCCUGGUGUAGCGGUGGAAUGCGCAGAUAUCAGGAAGAACACCGGUGGCGAAGGCGGGUCUCUGGGCCGUUACUGACGCUGAGGAGCGAAAGCGUGGGGAGCGAACAGG